CAGAGAAGUGCUUUAGCAAUAAAGAACCCGGUGACAGGUGCUGCAUGGCUGUCGUCAGCUCGUGUCGUGAGAUGUUGGGUUAAGUCCCGCAACGAGCGCAACCCUCGCCUUAGUUGCCAGCAUUCAGUUGGGCACUCUAGAGGGACUGCCGGUGUCAAACCGGAGGAAGGUGGGGAUGACGUCAAGUCCUCAUGGCCUUUAUGUCUAGGGCUACACACGUACUACAAUGGCCGGUACAAAGGGCAGCCACUCAGCGAUGAGGCGCUAAUCCCAUAAAGCCGGUCUCAGUCCGGAUCGCAGUCUGCAACUCGACUGCGUGAAGUUGGAAUCGCUAGUAAUCGUAGAUCAGCAUGCUACGGUGAAUACGUUCCCGGGCCUU
rnacentral:rRNA from 1 species